rnacentral:lncRNA from 1 species
AAAAAAGAUGAAAAUAAACAUUAAACUGAAAAUCAAAACUAAAACUUUGCCAUAGAUCAAAACUUCUCUCUUUUGUCUUACCAUUUUGAAAUUAACAUAACAAUAAAAGAACAGAGGCCAGUGACACAAUACAAACCUGACUCUGUCGCAUUUGAUUGUGAUGUUUUGUUUUGCUGUAUAGACAGCACUUUAAACUAUAAAAUGUUCUCAAACUGGUAAACAUACAGUACAUACAGUGGAUUUUUAAGUCAUUGAGCUGCAUUGAUUUACAUAACAUUUAUUUAGAUUACUGGAGAUCACAAGAACAUCCAUUUAUGAGUUUGUAACAGCCCCUCGAAGUCUAUAGCAUCUGUGACACCUGCCAGAGACAUCACUGCAUUGUGAUUGGCUGUUGAAAACAGUGGCUGGGAGCUUCAGUUGUCUGUACAGAGGCUGUUAUGAUAGUUCUGCAAAAGCUCAGUGAGGAAAACAUCAUUUUAAACAAUGGGCUUCUGUUUGCUACUAGUUUUAAUGGCAUUCAUUGGUGGCAGUAUACAAGACAGCAUUACCCCAACAUCUCCUGCAAUCCAUGCAAUGGUCAAUGAAAAAGUUACGAUCUCUUGUAAAUACCAGUACACUCUGUCAAUGAAUAAUCUUCAGUGGUAUCGACGUUAUCUCAACUCUGCGCCAGAAUUCCUGGUUCUAAUUAUGGAGUCGGGACAAAAUCAAACGGCUACACCUCCUCACCCUCGGCUGACAGCUUCAGUCAAUAAAGAAAACAAGACUGUGAAUCUGGAAAUCUUUCCUGCAGAUGUGAAGGAUUCUGCAGCGUAUCACUGCGCACUGCAGCCCACAGUGGGAGGAAAUGCAUGUACACCAUACAAAAACCUUCUCAGAGCUAAACGGAGAAGAAAAUGAUUUAAAUCAACCUAUGAGACCAAAGAGUCUGCACACAUGCCACAAGGAGGCAGCACUUUUUUACCCCACUCAACAACAUCAGAAGCAUGCACAUAUGUUGACAUGUGACAAUUAGUACUAGACUGCUCAGAAAAAUAGCAACACCUUAUGUUAAAGGAUUGUGAACAGAGGCAUAGCUGAUCAGUAAAUUCAGGAUGAGGAGAUCAGUGUUAUUAAUUCUCAUAGCUGCAUCAGGUAGGCUAUUUUUGUAAAUUUAUAUGAAUUUUAAUAUGAAUGUAUAAUUAUAUAUAUAUAUAUAAAAACAGAUUUUUUAUAUAUGUUUUAUUAUUUAAGUCUUCACAUACCACUUUUUACUUCCUUUCCAGUUGCUCUUGGUGAUGUGAACAGAGGCAUAGCUGAUCAGUAAAUUCAGGAUGAGGAGAUCAGUGUUAUUAAUUCUCAUAGCUGCAUCAGGUAGGCUAUUUUUAGUAAAUUUAUAUGUAAUUUUUAAUAUGAAUGUAUAAUUUAUAUAUAUAUAUAUAAAAACAGAUUUUUUUAUAUAUGUUUUAUUAUUUAAGUCUUCACAUACCACUUUUUACUUCCUUUCCAGUUGCUCUUGGUGAUCGCAUUCAACCAGAUCAAGCUGUUAUUAUUAGAGAUGAAACUGACCGGGUGACACUGAGUUGCUCGUAUGAAACAAGCAGUGAAUAUGUUGAUCUUUAUUGGUACAGACAGUACCCUAACAGUGAGCCACAGUACAUACUGUGGAAAAGUGCACGACAAAGAAGUGGGAGUAAUAUACCAGAUCCUCAUUUUGAAUCUUCUACAAGCAGAACAUCCACUGAACUGAUUAUUAAAGCAGCUACUCUGAAAGAUUCAG